rnacentral:rRNA from 1 species
AGUGAACGCUGGCGGUAGGCCUAACACAUGCAAGUCGAACGGCAGCACAGUAAGAGCUUGCUCUUACGGGUGGCGAGUGGCGGACGGGUGAGGAAUACAUCGGAAUCUACUUUUUCGUGGGGGAUAACGUAGGGAAACUUACGCUCAUACCGCAUACGACCUACGGGUGACAGCAGGGGCUCUUCGGCCCUUGCGCGAUUGACUGCGCCGAUGUCGGAUUAGCUAGUUGGCGGGGUAAAGGCCCACCAAGGCGACGAUCCGUAGCUGGUCUGAGAGGAUGAUCAGCCACACUGGAACUGAGACACGGUCCAGACUCCUACGGGAGGCAGCAGUGGGGAAUAUUGGACAAUGGGCGCAAGCCUGAUCCAGCCAGACCGCGUGGGUGAAGAAGGCCUUCGGGUUGUAAAGCCCUUUUGUUGGGAAAGAAAAGCAGCAGGUUAAUACCCCGCUGUUCUGACGGUACCCAAAGAAUAAGCACCGGCUAACUUCGUG